rnacentral:misc_RNA from 1 species
GAUGAAGAACGUAGCGAAAUGCGAUACGUAAUGUGAAUUGCAGAAUUCAGUGAAUCAUCGAAUCUUUGAACGCAUAUUGCGCUCUUUGGUAUUCCGAAGAGCAUGCUUGUUUGAGUAUCAGUAAACACCUCAAAGACUUCAAUUUGUUUUGAAUGGCUUUGGACUUGAGCAAUCCCAACACCAGUCUUUACGAUCGGUGGAGGGUUGCUUGAAAUGCAGGUGCAGCUGGACAUUCUCCUGAGCUAAAAGCAUAUUUAUUUAGUCCCGUCAAACGGAUUAGUACUUUUGCUGCAGCUAACAUAAAGGGAGUUUGACCGUAUUGGCUGACUGAUGCAGGAUUUCACAAGGGUCGGCAACGAUUCUUGUAAAACUCGAUCUCAAAUCAAGUAAGACUACCCGCUGAACUUAAGCAUAUCAAUAAGCGGAGGA